rnacentral:rRNA from 1 species
UUCCGGUUGAUCCUGCCGGAAGUCACUGCUAUUGGGGUCCGGCUAAGCCAUGCGAGCGGAGGGCGCGGUCGAAAGAUCGUGGCCCCGCACACGGCUCAGCAACACGUAGUUAACCUACCCUUGGGAUGGGGACAACCUCGGGAAACUGAGGCUAAUCCCCGAUAGGCGAGGGACGCUGGGAUGCCCCUUCGCCCAAAGCUCCGGCGCCUGAGGAUGGGACUGCGGCCUAUCAGGCUGUUGGUGGUGUAACGGACCACCAAACCUACGACGGGUACGGGCGAUGGGAGUCGGAGCCCGGAGAUGGGGACUGAGACAAGGCCCCAGGCCCUACGGGGCGCAGCAGGCGCGAAAACUCCGCAAUGCGCGCAAGCGUGACGGGGGGACCCCAAGUGCCGUUGGUCUUUUGAUCGACGGCUUUUCGGGAGUCUAAUAAGCUCCCGGAAUAAGGGCCGGGUAAGGCUGGUGCCAGCCGCCGCGGUAACACCAGCAGCCCAAGUGGUGACCACGAUUAUUGGGCCUAAAGCGCUCGUAGCCGGGUCAGCAAGUCCCUUGUGAAAUCGGGCCGCCCAACGGUUCGGCGUGCAAGGGAUACUGUUGGUCUUGAGGCCGGGAGAGGUCGGAGGUACUCCUGGGGUAGCGGUGAAAUGCUCUAAUCCUGGGGGGACCACCAGUGGCGAAGGCGUCUGACCAGAACGGACCUGACGGUGAGGGGCGAAGGCUAGGGGAGCGAACGGGAUUAGAUACCCCGGUAGUCCUAGCUGUAAAGCAUGCGGGCCAGGUGUCUGGCGCUCCUCGAGGGCGCUAGGUGCCGGAGGGAAGCCGUUAAGCCCGCCCGGCUGGGAAGUACGGCCG